rnacentral:misc_RNA from 1 species
CCUCCUCCCACUCCCCCUCUCACUCCUACGCGCACGCACAGCACCGCGCCCGGCAGGCCGCACUCCGCUCCACGCUCUCGCCCCGCACAAUGCGCCGCCUCAGCCGCGCCGUGGCGUUCCUGCUGCUGCUCCUUCCCCUCGCCCUCGCGGCCACAACCACGAUGGCGGCGGCCGUCGUGGCGAAAGCUCCCGCUGCGGCGGCGGCGCCUCCGAACGUGACGGCGGAGAUGGCCAAGGGCGGGUGCAAGGCGUUCGCGGACCUGAUCGCGGCGUCCCCCGACGCGUCGUCCACGUACCAGUCGGCCGUGGAGGGCGGCAUGACGGCGUUCUGCCCCUCCGACGACGCCGUGAGGGCCUUCCUGCCCAAGUACAGGAACCUCAGCGCGGACGGGAAGGCGGAGCUGCUGCUGUUCCACGCCGUGCCGGUGCACUACUCGCUGGGGAGCCUCAAGUCCAACAACGGGCCCAUGAACACGCUGGCCACCGACGGCGCCGCCAGGAGCUUCAACUUCACGGUGCAGAGCCAGGGCGACGCCGUCACGAUCAGGACGGCCGCCGCCGCCGCGCCCGCGCGGGUCGAGUCCACGGUGCUGGACAAGGACCCCCUCGCCAUCUACGUCAUCGACGCCGUGGUGGAGCCCGUGGAGCUCUUCAAGCCCGCGCCGUCGCCGUCGCCGACGCCCGCGCCCGCGCCUGCCGCGGAUGCGCCCAAGGCUGGCAACGGCAAGGCCGCCGCGCGCCAGCGCCACCCGGCGCCCGCCGUGGCCGACGCGCCCGGCCCCGCCGCGGAAGACGACGCUGCUCCUGUGGACCAGAAGGACGUCAAGAAGAGCGCGGCCGAUGGCGCGCCGUGCUCCCGGUGGUGGCUCGCCGCCGCGCUGGCCGCGGCCUCGGCAUUGGUUUAGCGAUCCAUGGACGGAAGUGCUUUGUUUUUUUUUGUCUUUUUUUUGUUUCUCCGGUGUUGAUCCAUUGGCGUGUGAUCGUGGUUGUGGUGGCGUGCUUCGAGGUUUGUGUUUUUUUUUCUCGGUCGAGAGAAAAUAGUGUAUGCGUGCUUACGUAUUCGUGAGUGAGGGUGAGGCUCAGUGCGAGUUUAUGAGGAGGUGUUUGUAUUUUUGGUUCUGACGGACGAGUGAAAUCUGGGCACUGGCUGAAUUGCCGCUUGUGACGACGACGAGCUCCCGGUGGUUUCCUUCUUGUCGCAGCUUUUGAGAGAGAACCAAUUUUUAAAUCGCCGGAACAAAAUCUGAC